AAGCUGCAGUGUUGGAAAGACACCAACUGCUCCUGUUCUUUGCUGUGUUUCAGGUUGAGAACGUCUGUGUAUUUCCCUGAGCAUAGUUUAGGGAGGGCCUCGUGUGGAUCAACGUCUAGCUUAUACCUCCUGUAACCACAUGUUGGGUCGCAGCCCCAGAUUCAGAGAAGGGAGGCUGAACGCCCUGGAGGGAUUGGGUCUUCACAGCACAGCAGUGUCUCGAACUGGAAGAGCUGGCUGGGGACCAGGAAGUAUUGCCUUCUCUACUGAGACUGUGCCCCCGUGGCCCGGACCCAUACUAUAAGCAAAAGAACAGGGAUGGAUGGUACGCCUCUACCCAACCAAAGGUUCUGUACCAACAAAUGUGAUUAUGAACCAUUACCAUUACAUCCUUUAUAGUUAGUGUCCUGUCAAUUUCUCAGUCCAUUGUGCGAGUGACCCUGAUGUCUCCCCAACAAGUCUUCUUGCCACCGACCUC